UGUAAGUUAUAAAUGAUGCUUUAGUUGAUUUUAUAUAACUUUGUGCAACAAAAUUGGAGCUAUCAAUCGUUGAAACUUCCAUGUUUUGGAAACAGGGACUUUAUUGUUCUCUGUAUAAAAGAUCCUAUCAGGAAGCAUUUAGAACAUAAUGGUAUUCGGAACUGUGUUCUCUUUAGUAAAACUAUUUACCCAAAAUACCCCUAUAAAUCCCAAUGCUUUUUUCACCGAUAAGAAAGGUCCAUUAGCAUGUAUGCUGAAUAUAAAUUGCCCAACCAAAAGAAAAAAUCACAAUCUGUAACCGUAAGAUCUGAACUUGCCAGUACUAGGUCACCUGGAACAUCCUAUCAAUUAUCAGGUUCCACAUUCAUCCCAGCUUCUAAAUUUAUAAAAUUACAGUUUUUAUUUCUCUUAUUAAUAAUUAUUAUCUAUAUUAAAACUGUAGAAAUUCUUAUCUAGAAAUAAAUAUGCAAGAGUUGAGGAAGUUUCAACAUCUGUAUGAAAACAUUUGGCUUGAUAGUAGUUUGUCAUAUUUGCAUAAAUAGUGAAAUCUGUUGUAAAAGACUAAGAACAUGCGUUCUAAUAUUUAUUUUUGAUCCACAAAGUAUGUGAACGACUCAACGACUUGGUUUAUAUGUGUUUUUUUUUUCUCACAGUACUUUAAGGGAUCGGCGAUUCCCACCGAUCCAAGCUAAAGAAUUACCGUUCCUUGCAAUGUACAGUUUCCCUUCUUACGAAUUAUGAAAACGCUGCUAAUUAUCUCUAUUGGGAGGUACUGUACAUUGUAUAAGUCUAUUUUGAGUUCUUUUAUUUUUGUUUAUGUAUACAUACAAAGACUCUCCUCCCUUACUCUUGGUUUUUACAUUUUGGUUUCUAACCCCUCUUGAGA